GUAGGUGGCAAGCGUUGUCCGGAAUUAUUGGGCGUAAAGCGCGCGCAGGCGGUCCUUCAAGUCUGAUGUGAAAGCCCACGGGCUCAACCGUGGAGGGUCAUUGGAAACUGGGGGACUUGAGUACAGAAGAGGAAAGCGGAAUUCCAAGUGUAGCGGUGAAAUGCGUAGAGAUUUGGAGGAACACCAGUGGCGAAGGCGGCUUUCUGGUCUGUAACUGACGCUGAGGCGCGAAAGUGUGGGGAGCAAACAGGAUUAGAUACCCUGGUAGUCCACGCCGUAAACGAUGAGUGCUAAGUGUUAGGGGGUUUCCGCCCCUUAGUGCUGCAGCUAACGCAUUAAGCACUCCGCCUGGGGAGUACGGCCGCAAAGGCUG
rnacentral:rRNA from 1 species